CUGCACAGGAGUCUGAGACAUCCUUUGCCAAAGUCCCAGAAUGGAGACUGAAGGGUACCUAGAGACACAAAUAGAAGUCCAGAAUGAAAAUAAGGUCACCAUCAGAUGAGAUGAUGGUGGAGGAGUUAGAAAUUGUGCUAAUAUCUCCCAAGUCCAGGUUCCCCAAAAGCCUUCCAGCAGAGUCUUGAUGAAGACUCUACCAAAGACCUUGAGACCAUUCCAGAAAGGAAUCCGCCCAACGCUGCAGCUUCCAGGCAGAAGUUCAGGAAAUUCUGCUCUGAGGACACAGCUGGGCCCAGGGAGGUCCUCAGACAUCUCUAGGAGUUUGCUAGACAGUGGCUGAGACCUGAUAUUCACACAAAGGAGAUGUGGAGAUACUGGUACAAGAGCAGUUCCAGGCCAUCCUGCCUAGGAUCUCCGAGCACAGGCCCAGAGAGGUCAGCCUGGAGUCAGAAUCACUAGCUAAGGCCUGUCACUGGGUUCUUGCUCAGCCUACAUGUGAGAAGUCACCAAAGGUUCUCUUUGUUGGUCCAAGAUCCAACUGCACUCAUGGGGAAAUAUGAACCUUGGUUUUUUUGAGCUUGCCUUUGACUAGUUGUAAUAAGAAUCCAUCAAAACCCAUGUCUG
rnacentral:lncRNA from 1 species